CGGGGCUAAUCCCGCCGUUGCCGUGGCAACGCGAUGGCGGCGGCUCAGGAGAGCGCGUCGUUGUGGCUGGAGGCGCACGAGGACCCCCUGGCCGGGCUGCGAACCCUGCCAGGGUGUAUGGCCCUGGUUGAUCUCCAUGGCGAUGGCGACCACAAGGUCAUUUG